rnacentral:rRNA from 1 species
AGUGAACGCUGGCGGUAGGCCUAACACAUGCAAGUCGAACGGCAGCACAGUAAGAGCUUGCUCUUACGGGUGGCGAGUGGCGGACGGGUGAGGAAUACAUCGGAACUUACUUUUUCGUGGGGGAGAACGAAGGGAAACUUAAGCUAAUACCGCAUACGACCUCAGGGUGAAAGCAUGGGAUCUUCGGACCUUGCGCGAUAGAAUGAGCCGAUGUCGGAUUAGUUAGUUGGCGGGGUAAAGGCCCACCAAGGCGACGAUCCGUAGCUGGUCUGAGAGGAUGAUCAGCCACACUGGAACUGAGACACGGUCCAGACUCCUACGGGAGGCAGCAGUGGGGAAUAUUGGACAAUGGGCGCAAGCCUGAUCCAGCCAUACCGCGUGGGUGAAGAAGGCCUUCGGGUUGUAAAGCCCUGUUGUUGGGAAAGAAAAGCAGCAGGUUAAUACCCCGCUGUUCUGACGGUACCCAAAGAAUAAGCACCGGCUAACUUCGUG